AUCCAUCUGACGAGUCCCAAAUAGUAUAAAACGCGCGUUCUGGAU
rfam:Schistosoma mansoni strain Puerto Rico chromosome W, complete genome